GGAGAGGUGGCUGAGCGGUUGAAAGCGGCGGUCUUGAAAACCGUUGAGGGGCGACCCCCCUCCCAGGGUUCGAAUCCCUGCCUCUCCG
rnacentral:tRNA from 1 species